rnacentral:rRNA from 1 species
AUGGUUCUCCGCUCACACCACAACAUUCUGCAAGAAGAUUUGGACCUCAUAUUGACAAUGCAUGAUGUGAACUUCUCCACAUCAUCGUGCAUGGGAAUGCUUGGGAGGGUUCGUGGUGGAGACCAGAGGAUACUUCCGUACGUCAAGAGGGAUGUUACAAAUGUUCGUUCAAAGCUGCGGCAAACCAUAAAUCUCCGGGACAUGGACAUGACGGUUGCAUACUUUGAAAAGCGGCAAGAUGAGAAUCCUAAAUUCUACUACGCAAAAACAGUUGAUGAGGAAACAAACUCUAUCACGGGAUUGUUUUGGGUUGAUGGGAGGACAAGGGCAUUGUACCCUAAGUACAGAGAUUGUAUUUUCUUUGACACCACCUUUUGCACAAAUAGGUAUAAUAUGCCAUUUGCACCGAUUGUUGGCAUCAACAACCAUUUGCAAACAAUUUUGCUGGGGUGUGCUCUGCUUCCGAAUUAA